UUAACUAUUAUAUAGUACUCAGACAUCACUAAAAUUCAGAGUUUGGUCCUCUGGCAGGCACAUGCAGGCAGAAGCCCACAGGCGUUUAGGCACGGCCUGCCAAAGCAACAAGAGUAUAUAGACACGGAUGGGCUAUACCAUAAAGGUAUCUCCUGGGUAAUGAUCCUUCCGCAGGUUCACCUACGGAAA
rnacentral:misc_RNA from 1 species